AGAGUUUGAUCCUGGCUCAGAUUGAACGCUGGCGGUAUGCCUUACACAUGCAAGUCGAACGGUAGAGGAGCAAUCCUCGAGAGUGGCGAACGGGUGAGUAAUACAUCGGAACGUGCCCAGUCGUGGGGGAUAACGUAGCGAAAGCUACGCUAAUACCGCAUACGACCCGAGGGUGAAAGCGGGGGACUCGCAAGAGCCUCGCGCGAUUGGAGCGGCCGAUGGCAGAUUAGGUAGUUGGUGGGGUAAAGGCCCACCAAGCCUGCGAUCUGUAGCUGGUCUGAGAGGACGACCAGCCACGCUGGGACUGAGACACGGCCCAGACUCCUACGGGAGGCAGCAGUGGGGAAUUUUGGACAAUGGGCGAAAGCCUGAUCCAGCCAUACCGCGUGCGGGAAGAAGGCCUUCGGGUUGUAAACCGCUUUUGUCAGGGAAGAAAUACUUCGGGCUAAUACCCUGGGGUGAUGACGGUACCUGAAGAAUAAGCACCGGCUAACUACGUGCCAGCAGCCGCGGUAAUACGUAGGGUGCAAGCGUUAAUCGGAAUUACUGGGCGUAGAGCGUGCGCAGGUGGUUCUAUAAGACAGAUGUGAAAUCCCCGGGCUNCACCUGGGAACUGCAUUUGUGACUGUAGAGCUAGAGUACGGU
rnacentral:rRNA from 1 species